UUUUCAACUGUUGUGUUAUCGAAAAUAGAAUUUCCGAUUGCUUUGCAUUGUUCAAUAUUUGUUAAAUGGAUAUUAAGUGAAGAAAAUUUUGAAGAAAAUUUUGAAGAAAUUGCUUUUCCUUAUGUAUCAGAAAAGAUACACGCAGAGAGGCCAGGCACGAGUCCAGGAGAAGAGAACGAACCAAAAUAAAGGGUACAAUGAAAGAGGAGAAAAAAGAAAAAGGCAAGAACUGGUGUCGCGAGAAGCAAGUCGUCGAGACGUCUUCAUCGUUCCACGAUUCGAAGCCGUUCGUCAUUUCCGGUGGACGAGACUCGCGGCUAUCUCUUCGUCUCGCGAGUCGAUCGUCGAAUUUGUUUUGCAAUCCCGGCGCCUCGUUUAUCGUUGGUACACAUCGUGUACCGUCCGAGAGAUAGAAGACCUCGUUCCUCGAGGUUCGGGGUUUCGUCCGGUCGGCGAAAGGGAAUGCAUCGAACGGCCGGCUCCGGUCCCUUUUUCGCGUUUCCUGACCGGUAUCUGCACGUGUAAGGACAGGGCAAAGCAGAUAGCGGCGUGGCGAGCGUGUCGAUCCGUUUAUCGAGCCGUGUAUUUACGCGCGGCGUGACUCGUAGACGCGCGUUCGCCAGAUAACCGCGAUAAUAUAGAAACGCCAAUAAUGAAAUACGAUAAGCCGGGCAUAGAAUUUGUAUACGACGGCCCGUCGUGGAUUAAGGAGCUGUUAGCAUAAUCUGAACGACUCUAUACCUAUGUCCCAACAAACAGGCGCGCGGGGGCAAUUAGAAACGCUUCUCGUUCGUCGUACACCACUGCGUGUAUAUAAUCCACGCACGCGGCCGUAUACACUGGGGGGGGAUACACAUCGAGAGGCGUACAACGGGCUCGAUACAACGAAGAUCGAGAUACGUAAGUAUUAUGCGCGAUUUGCUCGACCGCGAUAAACCUUUCGCGCGUUUUCUCUUCUCCGCGAAUAAAUUACGCGACGAUAGGUUGACACGCGUCCCGCGUCCAAUUCUUUUUUUCCCUUUUCGAAAUCGAAGAUUCCACUCGCUUUCGUUGAACGUCGCUAAUCGUCUCGUUUUACGCUUACAUCGUGCUUGUCGCUGACUCGGCGGGACCCUUCUUCCCUCACCCUCCCUGGUCCCUAGUCCGUAUCCCCUCCCUUUCCAUCGUAGUUUUAUCUCUGUCCGCCAGGGGGACGGGAACACGCGUCGUCGCAAGACUCAGGUAGGGAGCAAAGUCAAUUUCGAGGCGAGAUGCCACGGGGUUAAUGGGCCUCCUUUGUCGUAAAUUCGGGCUUUAGUGUGAAAGCUGCCUAAACCUACCUCCGUUGCUCCUUCCUCGCCAGAGGAAUCCCCCUCGCUUCGUGCCUCUGGGAGCCUUGUAACAAACAGGAUACAGCUAUCUCUCUUUCGCCCCCUCCAUCUGUCGGCAUCGCCUGCCGCCACAUCGUCGAGCGAUUUAUUAUCCGACCGUUCCACCUCGGGCACCGUUCUGCUUAGCCGCUGUUUUUUAUUCCUGGUGAAUAAGGGGAGUGAGGGAGCCGGGAUCAAGGCGGAGUGUGAGCGGUGGAACGGAGUCAACGGGUGAGGGAAGGAACGGGAAACACGGCGGAAACUGGAGAACCAGAGAGGAGAGAGGAACUGGUGGAAAAGAAGAUAAAUCGCGACAGUUGCCAACCUAAGAAGUUUGAUUAUGUUGGCUCAGCCGAGGCUACGCUCGGUUAGAUUUGUAUUAAGCUCGCACCCGCCCCAGCGUCGACGGGAAUAUGCUUUAUAAGCGUAUCGUGGCGUGCUCGAGCGUUUCGAAAUCUUAGAUGGUCGAAAACAGGGGAAGGAAACGUGGUUAUUAAAAUCAAGAAAGAAUGGGAAAAUAGCAGAGAGAUAUGAGGUCGUUUUUUUUUCCCUCAUCAAAAAUCCAUGGAAUAUCGUUUUUGUUAGGGAAGAUUACGUUACAAGAUAAUUCAAAACAUUUGUUACUAGUUACACAUGGUUGUCGCGUGGGUGGUGUAGGUGUUUAGUCUGGGGAAUGUUUAGAUCCCUUCCAUGGUUUCACUCUGUGAAGUGGAGUUUAUGCGUAAACGAUAGGGUCUUGACAGAUCGCCUAUUCCUGGUAUACGAAAGUGUGAACACUUGAAAGCACUUCCCGUUUCUAAGAUACGUGUUCUUAAGAUUAUAGAAACAAAAAAAAAAAAAAAAGAAACAUACGUUUUCGGUUACAUAUGUUUGUAUUCAAAUAUACAAAUAUUCUUUAAAAAAUUCCAUUCUCAAUCUAUA